UCCGAAUUGGUGUAGUGGCUAACAUUUGACGCUCUCAUAAGUUUCCCCGGAACCUUCUGUACCGUCAAGCCCGGGGUUCGAUUCCCCGAUUCGGAG